GGAUGCUUCUUCCAUCGUGAGGGGCGAAGCACCGCUCCAGUAUACUGGAAUGACCGAUGCAUUCAGACAAACUGUGCGCAAUGAAGGAUUUGGAGCUUUAUACAAGGGUCUUGUUCCUAAUUCAGUCAAGGUUGUUCCUUCUAUUGCAAUUGCAUUUGUGACCUACGAGCUCGUGAAGGACGUGCUCGGAGUGGAGAUGAGAAUAUCGGACUAAGAGGAAGC
rnacentral:misc_RNA from 1 species